AAACUCAAAGGAAUUGACGGGGCCCGCACAAGCGGUGGAGCAUGUGGUUUAAUUCGACGUAACGCGAAGAACCUUACCAGGGCUUGACAUCUUCUGACUGCUUAAGGAAACUUAAGCCUUCCGGGAGUUUACUUUCCGGACAGAAAGACAGGUGGUGCAUGGUUGUCGUCAGCUCGUGUCGUGAGAUGUUGGGUUAAGUCCCGCAACGAGCGCAACCCCUACGGUUAGUUGCUAACGGGUAAGGCCGAGCACUUUAGCCGAACUGCCGUUGACAAAACGGAGGAAGGCGGGGAUGACGUCAAAUCAUCAUGCCCUUUAUGUCCUGGGCUACACACGUGCUACAAUGGCCUGUACAAAGGGCAGCAAAGGGGCAACCCGGAGCAAAUCCCAAAAAACAGGUCUCAGUUCGGAUUGCAGGCUGCAACUCGCCUGCAUGAAGUCGGAAUCGCUAGUAAUUGCAGAUCAGCAUGCUGCAGUGAAUACGUUCCCGGGCCUU
rnacentral:rRNA from 1 species